rnacentral:rRNA from 1 species
AUGGUCUAGUCUAGUUCCAAUACAAGCAAAACCCCUUACAGUUUGAACCCCCGAAACUAAGCGAGCUACUUCAAAACAGCCUUCCAGGGCCAACCCGUCUCUGUUGCAAAAGAGUGGGAAGAUUUUCAAGUAGAGGUGAUAAGCCUACCGAGCCUAGAGAUAGCUGGUUAUUCAAGAAAAGAACCUAAGUUCUGCCUUAAGCUUCAACUAACACUUAAUAGCCCAGUAAGCUUAAGAGUUACUCAAAUAAGGUUCAGCCUAUUUGACUCAGGACACAACCAACACCAAAGGGUAAUGUAGUAAACCCCAUGACCAAGUGGGCCUAAGAGCAGCCACCUUUCAAAAAGCGUUAUAGCUUCACCAUGACAACUAACCAAUUCCACACCCCCUACAAACCCCUCCCCCCAUAUUGAAUAAUUUUAUAAUUCCUAUAAUAGAUAUUAUGCUAGAACUAGUAACAAGAAACAGAAUUUCUCUUAAAUGUAAGUAUACCCCAGAAAGAACCAAUCUCUGACCCUUACUGCAAUGACACACUAAGUAGCAACCACCUCUAGAAAACCCUACUUACCUUAACAUUAACCUUACACAAGAACAUUACAAGAAAGAUUAAAACGAGGGGAAGGAACUCGGCAAAUUUUAGUCUCGCCUGUUUAC